AGAGUUUGAUCAUGGCUCAGAGCGAACGCUGGCGGCAGGCUUAACACAUGCAAGUCGAGCGGGUGUAGCAAUACAUCAGCGGCAGACGGGUGAGUAACGCGUGGGAACGUACCUUUUGGUUCGGAACAACACAGGGAAACUUGUGCUAAUACCGGAUAAGCCCUUACGGGGGAAAGAUUUAUCGCCGAAAGAUCGGCCCGCGUCUGAUUAGCUAGUUGGUGAGGUAAUGGCUCACCAAGGCGGCGAUCAGUAGCUGGUCUGAGAGGAUGAUCAGCCACAUUGGGACUGAGACACGGCCCAAACUCCUACGGGAGGCAGCAGUGGGGAAUAUUGGACAAUGGGGGCAACCCUGAUCCAGCCAUGCCGCGUGAGUGAUGAAGGCCCUAGGGUUGUAAAGCUCUUUUGUGCGGGAAGAUAAUGACGGUACCGCAAGAAUAAGCCCCGGCUAACUUCGUGCCAGCAGCCACGGUAAUACGAAGGGGGCUAGCGUUGCUCGGAAUCACUGGGCGUAAAGGGUGCGUAGGCGGGUCUUUAAGUCAGGGGUGAAAUCCUGGAGCUCAACUCCAGAACUGCCUUUGAUACUGAGGAUCUUGAGUCCGGGAGAGGUGAGUGGAACUGCGAGUGUAGAGGUGAAAUCCGUAGAUAUUCGCAAGAACACCAGUGGCGAAGGCGGCUCACUGGCCCGGUACUGACGCUGAGGCACGAAAGCGUGGGGAGCAAACAGGAUUAGAUACCCNNGUAGUCC
rnacentral:rRNA from 1 species